ensembl:lncRNA
CGAUGAUUCAUGCAUUGCGCAGUAGGGAGGCAGUAUUUCAUGCCUUGUUUUGUGGCGGUGUGCGGUUUGUAGAGGAGUCUGUGUUCUGUUUCCCUCUCCGGUCUGUCUCCGGAGAGCAGUAGGUGCUCCCUCACUUAGCUCCGCUUGGUUGCCAUGGGAGCCGGCCCAAGGAUUAUUCAGCAUUCCUGCCACUUCACAUCCCACCUCUCAGCCUGUCAGUCCCCGGUCUAUCGGCUCUCUGCGGUUGGGCAUUCGGGAGAAGGCAGGUUCCGUACGGGCUUAAGAUGGAUAUGAAGCACUUGAGUCGGCGUGGGAAGAGUCCACUGAGGCCUUACGUAACUAGAUCAACGAUGGCGCUAAAUGAGCUCGAAGAGAAGAUGAGCUUUGCCCCAGAGCACCUGUUCCGCCGUGUUCUGGCGUCCCUCGCGGUGGAUCUUUCUGCAUUAUCCUACCUGUUAACGCACCUCUCCUCCCCCUUCAACACUCACAAUUACCAGGCUUAUUAUGUGACUUAUCAGGAAGGCUUGAGUCUGUUAACAUGUUGGGGGAGGGGCAUCAAUACACACACACACACAGACUCUCAAAGAGGCAGCAGAUGCUGCGCUGUGCUGUUCAGUCAGACAAGCCUGAUCCAAGAUGAUUGCUGUGAUUAUAGCAUGCAGCAGCCGAACUGAGACUCAUCCUCAAGGCCAACUGUAGGAGGAGAGAAAGACAGUAGACAAGUCUGUGAGCAAAAAGGUCUGUCUACAAAAGAAGGUGGAAGUAGAAGGAGGAGGGAGAGACAGCUGUAAGGCAAAAGGAGUGAGAGCAGAAGAAAGAGGAGGGAGAUGGAGAGUCAAGGACUGGUUAAGGAUUGAACCUGAAACUACUCGGUCUGCCAUGUUACAGCUACAUCAGUCUGACUCCACCUCCUGCUGAUGUGAAGAACACACACACACAUCAACACAAUUCACACACACACACACACCAGCAUUCCCCAUCUGGUCCCUGAGGAAGACUGAGUUACCACGCUUGAUAAGAACACUUUUGAGGUCCCACUGCUCCAUCUCAAUUGGAACUGGCAGAAUCAACCACUAAUCGGAUUAGUUAAAAUUGUUGGCAUUUUCUUUCUCUCAUUACUUUUGUUUGUCUUCCCUCCUUUUCUUUCCUCAACCAUGAUAUCACGUGUCUCUUUUUCUUGUUAUCACAGGCAGAUAUAUUUUCUCUCUUAAGUUUUUCUAACUGGAGAAUGAGAGGAAAACAGCAAGACAGCAUUUUUAAAUCUCUUUGCCCUUUGGAUGGUGUUUUGAAGCAGUAGACAGAGAACUCACACUUCAUCUAUCAUCUAGGUUUUUCUUUUUCUCAUCAAAUGUAACAAAGUGAUUGAAGAGGUUCAACAAGAUUCUAGGCCCCCACAUCAAUUAUGUGAAAACAAAUGAAAUACCAAACAAAAUUCCUAAUUUUAUAUUAAUUAUGCAACAGUGCCAAGCACAUAUUAGUAAUACUAUCAAAUAUAUUAUAUGAUACUGUAUGUUCUGUGUCACAUUCUUGAGUAAUGGAGCACUCUUGUUCCACACAAAAUUGAAAAUAUUUACAGCAGACUAAGACCUGGGUCCAAAGAGCAUGUGUAAAUCUCAUUAGCUAUAUAUCCAAGUGUUCGAGAACGGCAAUUACUAAAUUAUGAAUGUGAAAUUAAUAAGAAAAAGGGCUGAGUGUCUGAAAGAGAGAUUCAUCUUGUCCUAGUUAUGCCAAAGGCAAGAGGUAUAUUUCAUGAACCCCCAUUUCUCACUUAGCUUUAUAGGCACACACACACGCACACACACAUACACACAUAAAUAAAAAAUAGAAUGCUUAGCCAAGAGCCAACAUUUACUCUGUAACUGUAUGGAGCAUGACAAAAACACAAAUAAAAUAAUCUAAAAUUAUUGAUUUACAGUAUGUAUACAGAUGAAUGAUCAUGGAACUGUGUAAGUGUGUUUGUGAUUGUUUGUGUGUGUGUGUCUGGGUGUAUUUGCAAACUUGAGUAGCUAUGUGUGAAGGCUAGCUA